CACAAGGGGUGAAGCCUGCGGUUNAANNGGAGUCAACGCCAGGAAACUUACCAGGAGAGACAGCAGGUUGAGGGUCAGUCUGAAGAACUUACCUGACGAGCUGAGAGGAGGUGCAUGGCCGUCGCCAGCUCGUGCCGUGAGGCGUCCUGUUAAGUCAGGCAACGAGCGAGACCCCUAUCAGUAAUUGCUAACUGCUCAGAGAUGAGUAGAGGCUAGUUACAGAGACUGCCGUUGAUAAAACGGAGGAAGGAAGGGGCCACGGCAGGUCAGUAUGCCCCGAAACUCCUGGGCCACACGCGGGCUGCAAUGGUAGGGACAAUAGGUUCCGACCUCNAAAGAGGAAGGCAAUCCCCAAACCCUACCCCAGUUGUGAUCGAGGAUUGAAACCCGUCCUCGUGAAUAUGGAAUCCCUAGUAACCGCGUGUCAUCACCGCGCGGUGAAUACGUCCCUGCUCC
rnacentral:rRNA from 1 species